rnacentral:rRNA from 1 species
AACGAACGCUGGCGGCAUGCCUUACACAUGCAAGUCGAACGGCAGCACGGGAGCAAUCCUGGUGGCGAGUGGCGAACGGGUGAGUAAUAUAUCGGAACGUGCCCAGUCGUGGGGGAUAACGUAGCGAAAGCUACGCUAAUACCGCAUACGAUCUACGGAUGAAAGCGGGGGAUACGCAAGACCUCGCGCGAUUGGAGCGGCCGAUAUCAGAUUAGGUAGUUGGUGAGGUAAAGGCUCACCAAGCCGACGAUCUGUAGCUGGUCUGAGAGGACGACCAGCCACACUGGAACUGAGACACGGUCCAGACUCCUACGGGAGGCAGCAGUGGGGAAUUUUGGACAAUGGACGCAAGUCUGAUCCAGCCAUUCCGCGUGCAGGAU